rnacentral:lncRNA from 1 species
AAGGUUGUAGGAAAAUAGUGUCGGAGAGGAAGGAGAAAGCGCGAAAAGGGAAAACGUUGUGGAAGAGGAAAGGUUCAGAUCAUCUUUUGAGGAGAAGACGUGGAUGUCGGACGCAGGUGUUGGAGAGGAAGGAGAAAAUGCUGAAGGAAAACUUGUUGGAGGUUGAAGGGACAAAAACCACGAAUCCGAGACACCUACCUUGCCAGUAUAAAUGAGUCGGACGAUCAAAUGAAGGUCCCUCCGGAUUGUCAAAAUAACCACCUUGAAGCAGAGGGUAAGUUUCUGCUACUAUUUUUAUGCAGAAUUUGUAAAAGAUAUACUUACUAUUUGUUAGUAUUAAUUUUGAACAGUUUUUCUUCACUCAUUUAGUAGCUAAACACUCAUUUUAGUGUGAAAAAAAACUUGCUGGCAACAUCUCAUUUCAAUAUCGAUAUACUAGUGUCUCUCGUGUCUAAAUCACUUGGUCACAUAUUUCGUGUCAUAGAGAUGGGGAAACUGCAUUGCUUAGAAAGAAAAACAUGCGCCUAAUACAUAAACAAUGAAAUUGGUAUUGGAAAAGUUUAUCUAAAGCUAUAUAGGGAGAAUUCUAAUCAUAUUGUUCGUUGUCACAAGCUGGAUAAUUGAUAUAUGCAUGUUAGGGAUUUUUAAUGCAAUAGUAUUUUUUGAUAAUAUGUAUGAGAGUUAAACUUAAGGUUAUAUUAUCAUAUUUGAAUUACUAAUUUUCUAUUGUUAUGUGCACAUAAUUUUUACUGUAAUACAAGUGAAGGUGUUUGGAUGACUUGUGAAUGACCUUCAGAUUGCUUUGAGUUGGUUGCUUCUUUUAAUGAAAGAGUAGCCUCUAAUAUCAUCUUUGACCAAAGUUUUUAAACUACCAAUUCUGACUGGUAGUGUGGAGCUAGAUCAAUUUCUUAUUCAGUUUGAAGCAACUGUGCACAGUGACUUCCCAAAUUACCGGGUAUACUUUUUGCCUUUCUAGGUUUUCAAAUAAUAUUGACUGAAACUUACUCUAGAUAUUCUUCGCAGCCCAAGAACUAUGCCUCAUAGUUUAUUUACUUUAAAUUGUUAAUUUGGAAUAUUGAAUUUGUUAAAAAGCUGAUUGUGCUGUUAUUUUUCUUGGAAAUUAGAAUAUAAAUCAUAUAUUGUUGGUGACGACAAUCACUGAAUUUGAAUAAAUUGAUUGGCUCCUAACAAUUUAUUUGUUUUAUAUAGAGGUGGAUUAGUAUUCAAAAGUUUUUCGUAUUCACUUAUUACUUCUAGUAAUGGUAAUGGAAAUAUUUCAUGUUUGAAAAUUGGAUAUGUGAUUGAAAUGGAGGUACCUUAUUAUGCAUAACACUAAGCAAUAUAGUAGGAGCUGAUAAAAAAAAAAAAAGCAAUAUAGUAGGAAAUUGUGAUUUUGCUACAGGAAACUUUGAGGCUACAGCCUAAAUGUUGUGGACACUAAAUAUGAUAAAGGGUAGUGAAUUUGCGUGGAGGCAUAACACUUGAAUUUGUUGUUUAAGGAUUUGGGUUUCGCUGGCUUGAUUCAGGUUAUAGUCUAAUUUCAUGACAAGCCAAACAAAAAUUACUAUAUCUUUAUUUUGCCAAUUCAAUUAACCCAUAUAUAUGUUACUUGUAUUACUUUAUUAUGUUUGAAUUUUUUGAUUCAUUUGGACACCUGGUGUGAUAACCCUUUUAGCAAGUUUAAUAUAUUAUACCCAAGAUCUUUCUGAAUAAAUUUUUUAUAGUCAUCAUAAUUAUCAAACCCACUUCUGCUUAUUUUUGUUUAGAAGGUAAAAAGUUAGCAGCAUUUUUUACCUUUGCUACAAUGCCUUUUAUGGAUUGGCAUUUUAACAGUUUGAUAUAUGGCAAAUGUUGAUUUUCAGUUUCAUCAAUUAUAUGUUCAUGUUUGUGAGCAUAUGCAGUGGCGUAUUAUCUUGGAGUGUAUGUAUAACUAAUGGUAUAGUUUGUUCUAGAAUCAUGAUGUUACAAAUUUGGAUGUUGUAACACUCUCAACACUUGUUGAAUUACUUUUGGAGCAGGUAGCUCACUGGUUUGAAGUCGUUCAUGACAUCCUCCCAUGACGUUGUACAAGUUGCACAACUCCCCUUUGUGUUCUGAGAGUGGGAGCAACAAGUGAUUCAACACAAUGCUGAUGUGAAAGAAACUCCUGUCAUAACAAAAGAUUCUUCUCCACAAACUCUAGCUGCACGCGUGUUCAAUCUCCUUUUUCAUCUCCUCUAUUAAUUUUUGUCGUAUCUUCGAUGCCAUUUCUGCUUUGGUAUCUGCGACGGGGGAGGAGGAUGAAUUUCGUGGUGCAAAUAUGAAAUAUUGUCAAAUUCCAACUCCUUUUCCAAUUGCACAAUCAUUAGACUUCAACCUAAUUAGCUUAAAAUCUUGCAUUGAUAUUAGGUUCUUCACAUUUGAGGAAUGUCCUUGUGACACUUUCACACCCUUUAGACAUUGAUAAAAACUUAUUUUUUCAUCUUUUGACAUGUUGUAACAGGCUGAGAGCAAAUAUGUACACUUACCCAUUUGUAUUUGUGUCAACUCGCUUUAUAUGUUCAUCUCAAUCAAAUAUAA